rnacentral:rRNA from 1 species
UACGUAGGUGGCAAGCGUUGCCCGGAUUUACUGGGCGUAAAGGGCGUGCAGGCGGUCUGUUAAGUGCAGGGUGAAAGCUCCCGGCUCAACUGGGAGAGGUCCUUGCAUACUGGCGGACUUGAGGGGGGUAGAGGAAAGUGGAAUUCCCGGUGUAGUGGUGAUAUGCGUAGAUAUCGGGAGGAACACCUGUGGCGAAGGCGGCUUUCUGGGCCCUACCUGACGCUGAGGCGCGAAAGCGUGGGGAGCAAACAGG